UUUCUUUGGUCCACUCUGUCUUUUUUCUUUUUUUUUGAGACUCAGUCUCGCUCUGUCGCCAGGCUGGAAUGAAGUGGCAUGAUCUCAUCUCACUGCAACCUCCGCCUCCUGGGUUCAAGCAAUUCUUGUGCCUCAGCCUCCUGAGUAGCUGGAAUUACAGACAUGUGCCACUACACCCAGCUAAUGUUUUUAGUUUUAGUAGAGAUGGGGUUUUACCAUGUUUGGUGAAACACCAGGAUGUUUCACUAGGAGAUCAUCAGGAUGGUCUCGAUCUCCUGACCUCGUAAUCCACCCAGCUUGGCCUCCCAAAGUGCUGGGAUUACAGGUGUGAGCCACUGUGCCUGGCCUUUUUUUUUUCUGAGCCAGAGAACUUCCUAGGAGACUCAUUAGAGUAAUUGCAUUGAGAUAAUAAAGUGAACAACUGUGACUAGUGAAUCAGACUGCAGCCUGCAUUGUGCAGUGUCUGUAUUUCCUUAGCUCCUCAAGUGUGCCAGGAUCUCCAGAUCUAAUCCCAAGAUCUGUGAUUCUGUCUGCACUGAACCAUCCAAGGUGCUGGAGUGUGCCACAGAGAAAGAUCGUGUCGUGCAGAAUGCUUUUUAACUUUACACAUUGGUGGGAACCAGGAGUGGACUUUCUUUUGGCCGGCAAUGUGACAAGUGUCAUGUGGAGAGCUGAAGCCACUGACAACAUAUUGCAGAUUUACUUCCCUGUUGGUUUAGUUCCCCUUUCUGAUAAAUUGGCAGCUGUAGUAGCUGGCCCACUCCUUCAUCUGAUUUUGGAUGGGGUUUGGGCUCAAUAUGGAAUCGGUUUGCUGUCAGUAUUGCUGAGGAUACAAAAGGAGGUCUCUUCAAGGAUUUAGGAUAUGGCAUUGCUACUUUCAGUGAUUCUGGAGACUGUGGGUUUUGCUUCUUUGUUUGCUAUGGAUUGUGUGAUGCUACUGAUGUCCAAGAUCUGGUGCAAGGACCAAUGAAUAGCAUGUGUCUUUCCUGAAAUGAUUCCACUCUACGGCCCCCGCAAGAAUGGAAACUUUCCCAGGGAACUUUUUAAGGAAUGUUUCAGGUCCCAAUUUCUGUGGUUUUACUUAUUUCCCCUUUUUGAAGCAGUCAACUUUCAAGCAUUGCCCUUCUGCUAGUGAUCACUUUCAUAUCGCUGGCCAACAUGGAUGAACCCUGAGAGUAAGAAAACCUUGCCGCCUCCAACUGGAUACCCCCUUUAAUGGUCAGAAUCCCACACUUUCCAAGUCAGCAUAUUGAUCUUAUCCACAGAAAUGGUGUGGUAGCCCAAUUUUUCUUCUGUCUGCUUCCACCUCGGAAGCUGCAUUGGAAUGUGUCUCCCGCUGGUUGCACUUACUGAAGGUCAUAAGAAAUAGUUGAUGAAUUCUGUUUACCUGAUAUUUAGUUACCAGGUCCCCUAAAACUUCAUUUCUGGUGGGCAAGUCAUCUGAAUCCCAUAGCACAAUACGCUGUCAUUUAAUCAACCACUUCGUUACCACAUAGUGUGAACAGCUGGCUUCUCAUCCUGGACUAAGGAAGUCCUUAGUGCAGUCCACUUUGAAAAUGGGAACUAAGGCCAGGAGUGGUGACUCAUGCCUUUAAUCCCAGCACUUUGGGAGGCUGGGGUGGGUGCAUCACCUGAGCUCAGGAGUUUGAGACCAGCUUGGCCAACAUGGUGAAACUCCGUCUCUACUAAAAAUAAAAACUUAGCUGGGUGUGGUGGCACGUGCCUGUAGUCCCAGCUACUGGGGAGGCUGAGGCAGGAGAAUCACUUGAACUCAGGAGGUGGAGGUUGCAGUGAGCCGAGAUUGUGCCACUGCACUCCAGCCUGGGCAACACAGCGACUCUGUCUCAAAGAGAAAAAAAAGAAAAAAGAAAAUGGGGACUAGAAAUCAAACAGAAUUAUCUUUAACUCUGUGGGUCUGGGGUUCGAUACCCUGAGAAUUUUUGGUACCUAGUGAUGUCAAAGUUUAAGUUUUGAAGGUAUGGGCUAUGAGUGGCAAGUAAACAACAGGAUAGGUGUAGGUAUGUAUAUAUGUGUGUGUGUGUGUGUGUGUUUGUGUGUGUGUGAGAGAGAGAGAGAUUUGAAAAGAUAGGGCUAUGAAAAGACUUUCUUUUGGCCAUUUUGUUGAGUUUCUCUAUAGAAGGCAUGGUUUAGAAAUCAUUGCACUGUAUUCUCAUUGAUUGCUUUAUUAAUCAUAUAUUAGGGGCUAUUUUGGAGGUACAUGGUCCUGCAUUGUUUUUAUACAGCUUCCAGGUAGGGUCUAAGCCAGGAGGAGAGUGACAUACUUUUCCUCCCAGAGUCUCUCUAACAAGUAUAUGGUGCAUGAUAGAAGUGCCUCACUAUAGUUGGGAAAGCAAGAUUAUUAUCCUUGUCUCCAACACUAGCAUAAUGGUGGAAAUCCUGCUGCAAAUUUCUAUGACAUGUAUUUUUGACUACUUUAUUUAAAUACAUUUGGAAGUGGUACAUCCUUUUUACUUUCUGCUAGAAUUGUGAGUGUGUUAAUCAUUCCAUUCAGGUUUGACUUCUGAAUCUAAAUAUAAUGAUGUCUUAGACUCUAGGCAGAGUGACUAGGAAGGUGGAAGAUCAACAUGGCACCAGGAAGACCUGGGUUUGACUUUCUCUCCCCCUGGUCAUUGAUUGAAUGACCUUCAGCAAGGUACUUGGCCUCUUUGGUAUCUAUACACCUGGGAAAAUGGUGCCUACCCUUAAAAAAAUUCACAACAAGAUAAGUUCAAAUAGGGGUAUCUGUAGGGAGUUGCUUUUACAUGAGUGGAAUUGUAGAUAUAAUUACUAUUAUUCCUUCUCCUCUCCCAAAGACUGAUUUGUCAACUGACUUCAGAUGUUUUAGCUGCUUCUCAUGAGGAUGGACUGACCAACAAGGCAGGGCAUGAUGUUGUUCUUGAGUGCAAUGAUUUCUAAACUAGAAGUGGUGUGAAUGAACAUCCCUGUCUUGUUCCUGAUUAUGGAGGGGAGCACAUUCAAUAUUUUAACGUGAAGUAUGAUGUUAGCUGGAGAUUUUUCAUAGAUGCUCUUUGUCUUAAUGAGGAGGCUCCUUUCUAUUCUGCUGAUAGAGUUUGUGAUGAAUGCAUGUGGAAUCUUGUCACAAGUUUCGCUGCAUCUGUGGUGAUGAUUCUAUGGUUUUCUCCUUUGUUCUGUUAAUGUGGCAAAUUGCAUUGGAUAAUUUUUGAAUAUUGAACUGAUCUUGAAUUCCUAGGAUGAUACUCAUUUGGUCAUGAGGUAUUAUCUCUUUUAUUUGUUGCAGAUUUUUAUUUACUAAUAUUUAAAGACCUUUGAAUCUAUGUUCAUAAGUGAUAUCAAUCUGCAAAUUUCUUUUUGUAAUGUCUGUCAGAUUUCCAUAUCGGGGUUAGUCUGGCUUUAGAUUUUCUGAAAGACUGUGUAAGAUUGAUAUACAUUUUUUUUUUUCUCGAAUGUUUGAUGAAACUCAUUAGUAAAAGUUAUCUGGGCCAUCGGCUUUCUUG
rnacentral:lncRNA from 1 species